AAAACACUGAGAUUGAAUGACAUAUUUUGUAAUUUCUACAGAGACCAUUUAUAAUAAGCUUUAUUAUGGGAAAUUUCUUUUAUUUUGCAGGAGCCCUUGAAUGGCUGUUUCAGGUAAAAGUUAAAGCUUGAUGUAACACUAGAAUAAACAAUAAAAUUAAAUGUAUUUUUCUUUAAGCCACUUGCUGACAUUUCUUAAUCCUUGCCUCCAUCCAUCAUAGUAACAAGCUUAAUUUCACUCCUCAGCACUGGGUAAGUCAUCUUGUAUUGUACUCUUUUGUCUGGAUUUAGAAGGCUUUUGCUAGGAUGAAUUUAACAAAGUAAGUCUUUAAGUGUCAUAUAGUCUUAUUUUAUUGUAUUUUUUCUCUGGAUUCAAAGUGUUUUACAGCUGUUGCAGAGUAAGAAGUGUCAACUUCAUUGGACAUGAAGGAGAAAUCUCAAACAGAGCGGGAAGCAAUUAUGUAUUCAAGGUCAGGCAGAGCAAGAAACAUGCAUCAGAGCCCCCACCUGAGGCAGAUUCACUCUUCUUUGCUGUUGAAUAGCCAGAAUUCAUCUUUGAAAAAUUUACUGUGAAAAUAAAAACAACUGUCAAAUGAAGAAAAUAAAACACAGAGUACUCAACUGUUUUGUCAGGCAUAGAAAUUAAAUUUUAAGUCUGUUGUACUUUUGAUGAAAGUAUGCACAUAUGGGCUCAGAGCUUAUCAAAUUGUGACAAAUUUUGUGUUUGUUUAAGGUUCCACACUGGAGGCUGAGUAACUUGGAGGCACAGGAUAAUAAAAGCACAUGCAAGCGAG
rnacentral:lncRNA from 1 species